CUCACAACGAGACCUCAGGUCAGGCGGGACUACCCGCUGAGUUUAAGCAUAUCAAUAAGCGGAGGAAAAGAAACUAACAAGGAUUCCCCUAG
rnacentral:rRNA from 1 species